rnacentral:rRNA from 1 species
GACGAACCGUGCGAACGUUGUUCGGAUUCACUGGGCUUAAAGGGCGCGUAGGCGGGUGGCCAAGUCAGGGGUGAAAUCUUUCAGCUCAACUCCAGAACUGCCUUUGAUACUGAAGAUCUUGAGUUCGGGAGAGGUGAGUGGAACUGCGAGUGUAGAGGUGAAAUUCGUAGAUAUUCGCAAGAACACCAGUGGCGAAGGCGGCUCACUGGCCCGAUACUGACGCUGAGGCACGAAAGCGUGGGGAGCAAACAGG